GGCUCAAUGGUCUAGCGGUAUGAUUCUCGCUUUGGGUGCGAGAGGUCCCGGGUUCAAUCCCCGGUUGAGCCC